rnacentral:rRNA from 1 species
AGCGAACGCUGGCGGCAUGACUUAACACAUGCAAGUCGCACGGUCGGGGGUAACCUCGGCAGUGGCGGACGGGUGAGUAACGCGUAGGUAUCUAUCCAGAGGUGGGGGACAACCGCGGGAAACUGCGGCUAAUACCGCAUGAUGACGUGAGGUCCAAAGCAGCAAUGCGCCAUUGGAGGAGCCUGCGUUCGAUUAGCUAGUUGGUGGGGUAAAGCUUACCAAGGCGACGAUCGAUAGCUGGUCUGAGAGGAUGAUCAGCCAC